UACGAAGGGUGCAAGCGUUACUCGGAAUUACUGGGCGUAAAGCGUGCGUAGGUGGUUCGUUAAGUCUGUCGUGAAAGCCCCGGGCUCAACCUGGGAAUGGCGAUGGAUACUGGCGGGCUAGAGUGCGGUAGAGGAGAGUGGAAUUCCCGGUGUAGCAGUGAAAUGCGUAGAGAUCGGGAGGAACAUCAGUUGCGGAAGGCGGCUCUCUGGACCAGCACUGACACUGAGGCACGAAAGCGUGGGGAGCAAACAGG
rnacentral:rRNA from 1 species